ACUGGCCUGGCUGUGUGGUACAAAUCUUGCAUCCCAACCACUGGGUUCUGUGUUCAGUCCCACUGUGAGCACCUUGGGCAAGUGUCUUCUGCUAUAGCCUUGGG